rnacentral:misc_RNA from 1 species
GCAUUGGUAAAAACUACAGGUUCCUUUUUUUGAGAUAAAAUGGAAGUUUUUACAUAUUGCCGUAUCAAUGUCAAACACAAAAAGGAACCUGUAGUUUUUACCAAUGCUAUACUAACUGCUCAUAUUUCCGAAGAAGUGACAGCAAAGUAUAGCGAUACAUGACAGUUCCAUGUACAAAAAUUUUCUAUAUGCCUAUUAUGGAAAUGCAUCAACAAAGCUUCGGGCUUUCACUAAACGUAGCUUCCAAAAAGAAGGCCAAAAAUUGC